UACGGAGGAUGCGAGCGUUAUCCGGAUUUAUUGGGUUUAAAGGGUGCGUAGGUGGUAAUUUAAGUCAGCGGUGAAAGUUUGUGGCUCAACCAUAAAAUUGCCGUUGAAACUGGGUUACUUGAGUGUGUUUGAGGUAGGCGGAAUGCGUGGUGUAGCGGUGAAAUGCAUAGAUAUCACGCAGAACUCCAAUUGCGAAGGCAGCUUACUAAACCAUAACUGACACUGAAGCACGAAAGCGUGGGUAUCAAACAGG
rnacentral:rRNA from 2 species